rnacentral:lncRNA from 1 species
AGGGACACUUCGGAGACCAAAGGUGUGCUAUGUAAGGACAGGGAAGAAGGAGGCCAUGUGCUCUUUGUCUGCUUGCUCUUGCCGUGCAAGCAAGUUCCUUUCUUCACUGGAAUUGGAGCCUACUUCUUUGGAAUUCUAUUGUUUAUAGAAGACAAACUGAGACAUCCAGCCUGACUGAGCAGCUUCUGAAUUCUUGAGCUUUCUGUUCAUAGUCUACAGUUGUUGGAUUUGUUGGACCAUAGCCUGAUGACCCAGAGCCUGAAUUCAGUACCUGAGACCCACACAGUGGAAGGACAGGACCCGAUCCCACGAGUUGUCUUCUGACCGACACGUGUGUGAGUUUAUGGACACAGACACACACAAUUAAUAUUAUAAAAAAGUAAACCAGUCCAUGCCCACUAACUUGUCAAAAAUGAAAAAGCUCUGACAAUGCUAUACAUUGGCAGAGAUGUAGGACAAAGAUUUUACUCACUUGGGAUCAAUGGGUGGCUCUAGUGUUCAAUGUGUUUUGCAUGCAAGAAUGUCUGUGCAUCCGCUGGUGCCCGUGGAGAUCUGAAGAGGGCCUCGAUUCCCUGAAAAUGGAGUUACAGAUGGUUCUGAGCUUCCACGUAGAUGUUGGGAAUCAAACCCAGGUUCCCUGGAAGAGCAAGGGCUCUUAACUGCUGAGUGAUGCAUCUCUCCAACCCCUCCAGAUGCUAUGUAAGGAAGCUGGAACUUGGAAAAGUGAGUUGCUGGUUACUCUGAGGUUAGCUAGGGGCAGAACGAACUGGAACCUCUGUCUUCUGAAGCACACCCGGGCCUGCUCUGCUCUACCAUGGAGCACACAAAGCUGAGGG